AGUUGGGUUAGUCCGCACGAGCGCACCUUACUUUUAGUUGCUACCAUUUAGUUGGGCACUCUAAAAGAACUGCCAGUGAUAAACUGGAGGAAGGUGGGGAUGACGUCAAGUCCUCAUGGCCCUUAUGUGUUGGGCUACACACGUGCUACAAUGGUACUUACAGUGAGAAGCUAAGAGGCGACUCUAAGCAAAUCCCAAAAAGGUACCUCAGUUCGGAUUGUACUCUGCAACUCGAGUACAUGAAGCCGGAAUUACUAGUAAUCGCAGAUCAGCGCGCUGCGGUGAACACGUUCCCGGGUCUUGUACACACCGCCCGUCACACCAUGGAAGUUGGUUACACCUUAAGGCGAAGUGUAAAAACUUUGACUACGGUACGAUCAGCGACUGGGGUGAAGUCGUAACAAGGUAGCCGUAGGGGAACCUGCGGCUGGAUCACCUCCUUUCU
rnacentral:rRNA from 1 species